GAUGAACGCUGGCGGCGUGCCUAAUACAUGCAAGUCGAGCGAACGGACGAGAAGCUUGCUUUUCUGGUGUUAGCGGCGGACGGGUGAGUAACACGUGGAUAACCUACCUAUAAGACUGGGAUAACUUCGGGAAACCGGAGCUAAUACCGGAUAAUAUUUUGAACCGCAUGGUUCAAAAGUGAAAGACAGUCUUGCUGUCACUUAUAGAUGGAUCCGCGCUGCAUUAGCUAGUUGGUAAGGUAACGGCUUACCAAGGCAACGAUGCAUAGCCGACCUGAGAGGGUGAUCGGCCACACUGGAACUGAGACACGGUCCAGACUCCUACGGGAGGCAGCAGUAGGGAAUCUUCCGCAAUGGGCGAAAGCCUGACGGAGCAACGCCGCGUGAGUGAUGAAGGUCUUCGGAUCGUAAAACUCUGUUAUUAGGGAAGAACAUAUGUGUAAGUAACUGUGCACAUCUUGACGGUACCUAAUCAGAAAGCCACGGCUAACUACGUG
rnacentral:rRNA from 1 species